rnacentral:antisense_RNA from 1 species
GGUUUCAUUUUCCAUUUACCAACUUGCAAAAUUAGUAAACUUGGAAAACAUCCCCAUGGUUAAUUGACAAACAAGAACUCCAAACUACCCAGAGAUAACAACACUUGGUUUAGGGCAGUAUUUGCUCAGAUUGGUGUUUUUAUGUUGUUUUUGUGUUUUUGAGACAGGGUCUCACUCUGUCGCCCAGGCUGGAGUGCAGAGGCACGAUCUCAUCUCAUUGCAACCUCUGCCUCCCAGGCUAAAGCGAUCCUCUCACCUCAGCCUCCCACGUAGCUGAGGCAGGAGAAUCCCUUAAACCCAGGAGGCAGAGAUUGUGGUGAGCCAAGAUUGCACCAAUGCACUCCAACCUGGGCAACAGAGCAAGACAGUCUCAAAAAAUAAUAUAAAAUGAACAUAAAGGACAGUAACAAGCAUUGGUGUAUACACAGAGAAGCUAGAAUCCUGGUACAUGCAUUGCUGUUGAGAAU